rnacentral:tRNA from 1 species
GGGCUGGGGUUCAGUGGUAGAGUGCUUGCCUAGUUUGCAUGAGGUACUGGGUUCGAUCUUCAGCACCACA